rnacentral:rRNA from 1 species
AUUGAACGCUGGCGGCAGGCCUAACACAUGCAAGUCGAGCGGAGCGGCGGACGGGUGAGUAAUACCUAGGAAUCUGCCUGGUAGUGGGGGAAAACGUUGGGAAACGGCGGCUAAUACCGAAUCCUUUCGAAUAGCCCUGGGUCGGAUUAGCUAGUUGUGGAGGUAAUGGCUCACAAAGGCUACGAUCCGUAACUGGUCUGAGAGGAUGAUCAGUCACACUGGAACUGAGACACGGUCCAGACUCCUACGGGAGGCAGCAGUGGGGAAUAUUGGACAAUGGGCGAAAGCCUGAUCCAGCCAUGCCGCGUGUGUGAAGAAGGUCUUCGGAUUGUAAAGCACUUUAAGUUGGGAGGCGUUACCGACAGAAUAAGCACCGGCUAACUCUGUGCCAGCAGCCGCGGUAAUAC